rnacentral:rRNA from 1 species
CCUACGGGUGGCAGCAGUAGGGAAUAUUCCACAAUGGGCGAAAGCCUGAUGGAGCAACGCCGCGUGGGUGAAGAAGGUCUUCGGAUUGUAAAACCCUGUUGUUAGAGAAGAAAGUGCGUGAGAGUAACUGUUCACGUUUCGACGGUAUCUAACCAGAAAGCCACGGCUAACUACGUGCCAGCAGCCCCGGGAAUACGUAGGUGGCAAGCGUUAUCCGGAUUUAUUGGGCGUAAAGGGAACGCAGGUGGUCUUUUAAGUCUGAUGUGAAAGCCUUCGGCUUAACCGUAGUAGUGCAUUGGAGACUGGCAGACUUGAGUGCAGAAGAGGUGAGUGGAACUCGAGGUGUAGCGGUGAAAUGCGUAGAUAUAUGGAAGAACACCAGUGGCGAAGGCGGCUCUCUGGUCUGUAACUGACGCUGAGGUUCGAAAGCGUGGGUAGCAAACAGGAUUAGAUACCCUAGUAGUC